GACGAACGCUGGCGGCGUGCCUAACACAUGCAAGUCGAGCGGUUCUUAAGCUGUAGUUUACUAUAGCUUAAGAAUAGCGGCGAACGGGUGAGUAACACGUGGGCAACCUGUCCGAAAGAUCGGGAUAACAGUCCGAAAGGGCUGCUAAUACCGAAUACGCUUACCGGGUCGCAUGAUCCGGUAAGGAAAGGUCGGCAACUUCCGCUUUCGGGUGGGCCCGCGUCCCAUUAGCUAGUUGGUAGGGUAACGGCCUACCAAGGCAACGAUGGGUAGCUGGUCUGAGAGGAUGGUCAGCCACACUGGGACUGAGACACGGCCCAGACCCCUACGGGAGGCAGCAGUGGGGAAUCUUGCGCAAUGGGCGAAAGCCUGACGCAGCGACGCCGCGUGAGCGAGGAAGGCCUUCGGGUCGUAAAGCUCUGUCAGAGGGGACGGAUAAUGACGGUACCCUCCAGAGGAAGCCCCGGCUAACUACGUG
rnacentral:rRNA from 1 species